UCUUGUCUCUCAAAAAUAUUUCCCAAAAAAAAAAAAAAUUCUCUCUACAUUUUUUUAUUUUCUGCGAAUAUAUCUUCUGUAAACUCAGUGAGAUCGUAGACCCUGACAUUCUAGAUGUCACAUAUAAGGAAGCUAAUAUAAAAUUUUUUGUGAAUGAUUAGUGUUGGAUCAUCAUAUGGUUAGGAGCCAAGUUUCUUUCCAAAAAAAAGAAAAACAAUGGCAUACAUGUCACGAUCAUACAUGCCACAAAAAGUUGGAAAACAUUAUACAUGCCCUUCAUAUUAUAUUGGGUUUGCACAAGAAGAACAUGAGUAGGCUCAUAUAGGGGUUAAAAUUCAGGUUUUUUAAUUUGGUUUUGCAUUAUUUGGUCUUAGUUUUUCAUUUUGAUCAAAUGUCAUCCUAUCCCAACCAAAAUAAAUUCGAUCUGGCUAAUUUGGAUCUCAGCUUCUUCUAUGGUGUGAAAUCACUAAUGAUAUUAAAUAUAUGUGGACCAGACUCAAUGACUUAUGCUUCAUCCUGUUAGUUACCUCCUUAAUGCACAAAUCGAGCAAACCCUUGAUGUCUAGGAAAUUUGCGGUGGAUACGACGUUAAAGAGUGUUAAGAAAUUAGUAUCCAUCAAUACCUUGUCGUGAUGCUUUAUUUCUUCUUGGUUAGAUGUCAAGGGAUGCAUUUUGAGGUACUUAAUGAUCGUGUCUAGGUUUUCUGUGCCAACUUUGAAGAGUGGAAUUCUGCCAACGACGCAUCCAUCUUCAACCAUUUUCUUGAUCUUCAAUGACUUAAUGGAAAUGGAUUCUUCCAAUUCAAACUCAUCACCAUCUGAGUAUUUCAAGGAUUUAAUGAAGAGUGGGAUGCUGCCAACGAUGAAUCCAUCUUCAACAUUUUCGUGAUCUUGAAUGACUUAAUGGAAAUGGACUCUUCCAAUUCAAACUCAUCACCAUCUAAGUAUUUCAAGGCUCAAUUCCCAGCACUAUUGGAGGCCGCGACUAUCUGGUCCCUUGUUGAGCUGCUUGCUGAUAUUUGGGGUGAGCUCCAUGGCUUCUGGAGGGCUGCAGAUCUUUCCUUAUCCUUAUUUCCCUAUCUUUUCCAUUUUUCAAACAGUUUAUCACGCACUAGAUUCUUAUCACUCUUAGUUGGUCCUUGUAUUAUGAUGACAUCUGAUUUUGGGGAUUUAUUGUAAUAACAACUUAGUAUUU